AUCUGUUCUGCCUCCUGGUGCAUCUGUGGGACCCCAGGACAUACCUCCUGAAGCAAUGUCACAUUAAGGCUGUUAUUUCCCACGUCUCAGCACUGAAGGCAACUGUAAAAGCACAAAUGUCAUCUAGGGACAGCAUCACAUUAAACCCUGAGAGCUUCAAUGAGUUCAUUAAGGGGGCACGUGGUUGAGAAAAUAAGAAGCUCUACAAUUUAGUCCUCGUGCAAAGGCAGAAAAUUCUGACACCAACUCUCGAAGUCAUGAUGAGGCACCUGGUGACCCAGCAGGUGAACUCAUGUACCCACUUCCUGGUUGUCUGUGGCUCUGAGCAUCCAUGGAAUAAAUUCACAAGGUCUCAAAAAAGAGUGAACUGCUCCAGGAAAACCCAAUGGUAUCUUUGAAUGGACUUCACCAUUUAAUAAGUUCUUUGUAAAACCAUCUCACUUGAGCCCAAUAACACUGUG